AUAAGAUCAGCAGCACAAAAAGCAAGUAACGUUAUAACUGCAGCAGAUAGAAAACGACUUCAUAUGUUUUUCUGUCGAAGAGGCUGACAUAUGAAACCAUCGGAGACUGACUUUAAGGAGCGAGCAAGCCAGUUAUCCACAAAGGAUCCAAAUAUCAAGAGCAGCACCAGGCUUGUGUCUCAAGAGCUGGUCUCAUCUGGGGCCUAUGACCUGGUCUGCUUCUGACAUUCCUCAACAAAAAACCUCACUUACCCUCUCCCUGUAGAUAAUGUAUAAUAAAGUGUUUAAACUGA